rnacentral:pre_miRNA from 1 species
CAACUACUCCCUUUGUCCCAAAUUUCUUGUCUUAGAUUUUUCUAGAUACGGAUGUAUCUAAUAAUAAAAUGUGACUUGAUACAUCCGUAUCUAGACAAAUCUAAGACAGGAAUUUUGGGACGGAGGGAGUACUUU